GGGGGGAGCGCAGGAUCCUGGGCUGUGUCCCCAGUGCCCUGGGCUCUAGGGCCUGAGCUUCUGGAGUCGUGCUCCCAUGGCCACCCAGCCCCCU
rnacentral:pre_miRNA from 1 species